rnacentral:miRNA from 1 species
AAACUUUGGGAAUACUUUCGAGA